rnacentral:sRNA from 1 species
CGAGUGAGGGGAAACCCGAGGGGUUCCUUGGAGAAGGUGGUGCGUCCUGGGGCGGCAGCUGAGGAAGAAAGACGCAGUGCCCCGAAGCCACUGAGCUGAAAAGGGCCAGAAAGGGGGCGGCAUGGCAUGGCCCAAACUGCCCGCACCUUGGCUGCUGCUCUGCACCUGGCUCCCAGCAGGGUGCCUGUCCUUGCUUGUGACAGUCCAGCACACAGAACGCUAUGUCACCCUGUUUGCCUCUAUCAUCCUCAAAUGUGACUACACCACCUCUGCCCAGCUCCAGGACGUGGUGGUGACAUGGCGCUUCAAGUCCUUCUGCAAGGACCCUAUCUUUGACUACUACUCAGCAUCAUACCAGGCAGCUUUAUCCCUGGGCCAGGACCCAUCCAAUGACUGCAACGACAACCAGCGGGAAGUUCGCAUCGUGGCCCAGCGGCGGGGGCAGAAUGAGCCCGUGCUGGGGGUAGAUUACCGGCAGCGCAAGAUCACCAUCCAGAACCGAGCAGAUCUUGUGAUUAAUGAAGUGAUGUGGUGGGACCAUGGAGUGUAUUACUGCACCAUUGAGGCUCCAGGGGACACAUCAGGAGACCCCGAUAAGGAAGUAAAGCUCAUCGUCCUGCACUGGCUGACAGUGAUCUUCAUCAUCCUGGGAGCCCUCCUCCUCCUGCUGCUGAUUGGAGUGUGCUGGUGCCAGUGCUGUCCUCAGUAUUGCUGCUGCUACAUCCGCUGUCCCUGCUGUCCCGCCCGCUGCUGCUGUCCUGAGGAAGCCCUGGCCCGCCACCGCUACAUGAAGCAGGCCCAGGCCCUAGGUCCUCAGAUGAUGGAAAAACCCCUGUACUGGGGGGCGGACAGGAGCUCCCAGGUUUCAUCUUAUCCAAUGCACCCGCUGCUGCAGCGAGCCUCCCGCAGAUGCCAAUGACCCAGACCACCAAUCACCCUCCCAUUGCCAAUGGUGUCCUGGAGUAUUUGGAGAAAGAACUGCGGAACCUCAACCUGGCCCAGCCUCUGCCCCCCGACCUCAAAGCCAGAUUUGGCCAUCCCUGCAGCAUGCUGUCCUCCCUGGGCUCUGAAGUCGUGGAACGCAGAAUCAUCCACCUGCCCCCACUGAUCAGAGACCUGUCAUCCUCAAGGAGGACCAGUGACUCCCUGCACCAGCAGUGGCUCACCCCAAUUCCCUCCAGGCCCUGGGAUCUGAGGGAGGGGAGAAGGCAGCACCAUUACCCUGAUUUCCACCAGGAGCUCCAGGACCGGGGGCCAAAGUCUUGGGCAUUGGAAAGAAGGGAGUUGGACCCAUCGUGGAGUGGAAGGCACCGUAGCUCUAGGCUGAAUGGGUCACCCAUACACUGGUCAGACAGGGACAGCCUAAGCGAUGUCCCCUCAUCCAUCGAGGCACGCUGGCAGCCGAGCCACCCUCCUUUCAGGAGCCGCUGUCAGGAGAGGCCCCGCAGGCCCAGCCCCCGGGAGAGCACUCAGAGGCACGGGAGACGACGCAGGUACCGCAGCUACUCUCCUCCCCUGCCCUCUGGCCUCAGUUCCUGGAGCUCUGAAGAGGACAAGGAGAGGCAGCCCCAGAGCUGGGGGGCCCACCGCCGCCGCUCGCACUCCCCACACUGGCCCGAGGAGAAGCCGCCUAGCUACCGCUCACUGGAUGUCACUCCAGGCAAGAAUAGCAGGAAAAAAGGGAGUGUGGAGAGGCGCUCGG